rnacentral:rRNA from 1 species
AUUUCGUUAGUGGCGCACGGGUGAGUAAUGUAUAGCUAACCUGCCCUUUAGUGGGGGACAACAGUUGGAAACGACUGCUAAUACCCCAUACUCCAGCCUAUCAUAAGGUAGGUUGGGAAAGAUUUAUUGCUAAAGGAUGGGGCUUUAUGGUAUCAGCUAGUUGGUGGGGUAACGGCCUACCAAGGCAAUGACGCCUACCUGGUCUGAGAGGAUGAUCAGGCACACUGGAACUGAGACACGGUCCAGACUCC